rnacentral:lncRNA from 1 species
GAGAGGCCCAACCCGCUGGUGGCCCUUCUGGAGAGGAAUGCCCUGUCUGCCUUGAGAGGAGCGGCACUCGGGUUCCCUAUUCACCAAUAGGUGGCUCCCCCCAACCGCCUCCAUCUUGGGACAUGGCAGCUACUGCCGUAGCCCUCCCCACAUGGUAAUCUCCACUGUGGGACAUUGCACAGGGCCAGGAGGUAGCUGCUGGUUGCAGCACCACACACCACACAGCAGCAUCACAAGCCACCCAAUGCCAUCAUACAGCCCCUCCUUCUAGCUCCAUCUCUGAAAGCAGUUGCCUCUAAUUUAUGACACCUCCACUGCCACCUCUGCCAUACUUAGCUGGGGCAGAUUUCACCUUGGGACCCUGACUGGGGCCUGGAAGCCUAACUUUAAUAUACCUACAGGCUUGAUACUAAUGUCACCACCAACCAAGGACAUGGGAAAUCAUCACCAAGGUCCCGUGGGCCUGGUUGCACCAGAGGUCUCUCCUCUAGGUGUGCCAACAGUCACCAUCCUGUUAAAGAGGCAACAGGGAGCCUUGCAUGGGGUCACCUCUCUCUCUUUUGUCCUGCUAACAGCAAACUUCUUUUGAUUAAACCUUUACUAGUCCUAUAAUCUAAUACCUCGAUAUUCUCACAUUCUAACUCAUAAACAUCAGCCUCCCUCUCUUUCUACCAUUUGAAACUGUAAACCUUAUUCAAACCUGCUGGCUACAUGAUAGAAAAUAAACAAACUCAUCAUUUCUGUUUAUAGUGACAAAACUGUAAACGCCAAACUAGAAGCUAAUUGAUUUAUGGCUGCAUAUUGGUUGCAUUGAGUGCUGUAAAUAUUGAUGUCCUCCUUAAUGGUGAGGUAUUGAUAACCUGCAGGGACAGCACAGGAUUAUAGGAUAGAAGCUGCAGUAUCUCAGAUCUGUACUGCAAGAGAGGAAGACACAUAGACAACAUGAAAAAACAAGGGAGGAAAGUGCCCCAAACAAACCAAGAUAUCAUAAUAAUAGAAAUCUCUGAUAAAGCAUUAAUCUCUAGAAUAUAUAAAGAACUCAAAAAACUUAACACCAAAAUAAAUAAAUAAAUAACUCAAUCAAUAAAUGGGCUAAGGAACUGAACAGAUACUUCACAGAAGAAGAAAUACAAUCAAUCAACAAAUAUAUGAAAAAAAAGCAUUCAACAUCUCUAGCAAUUAGAAAAAUGCUAAUCAAAAUUACUCUAAGAUUUUAUAUCACUCCUGUCAGAAUGGCAAUCAUCA